UACGAAGGGAGCUAGCGUUGUUCGGAAUCACUGGGCGUAAAGCGCACGUAGGCGGAUGUGUCAGUCAGGGGUGAAAUCCCGGAGCUCAACUUCGGAACUGCCUUUGAUACAGCACAUCUGGAGUCCGGAAGAGGUGGGUGGAAUUCCUAGUGUAGAGGUGAAAUGCGCAGAUAUCAGGAAGAACACCCGUGGCUAAGGCGGUUCUCUAGUACGGUACUGACGCUGAGACGCGAAAGCGUGGGGAGCGAACAGG
rnacentral:rRNA from 1 species